rnacentral:rRNA from 1 species
AUUGAACGCUGGCGGCAUGCCUUACACAUGCAAGUCGAACGGCAGCACGGGCUUCGGCCUGGUGGCGAGUGGCGAACGGGUGAGUAAUACAUCGGAACGUGCCCUGUAGUGGGGGAUAACUAGUCGAAAGAUUAGCUAAUACCGCAUACGACCUGAGGGUGAAAGCGGGGGACCGUAAGGCCUCGCGCUACAGGCGCGGCCGAUGUCUGAUUAGCUAGUUGGUGGGGUAAGAGCCUACCAAGGCGACGAUCAGUAGCUGGUCUGAGAGGACGAUCAGCCACACUGGGACUGAGACACGGCCCAGACUCCUACGGGAGGCAGCAGUGGGGAAUUUUGGACAAUGGGGGCAACCCUGAUCCAGCAAUGCCGCGUGUGUGAAGAAGGCCUUCGGGUUGUAAAGCACUUUUGUCCGGAAAGAAAUGGCUCUGGUUAAUACCUGGGGUCGAUGACGGUACCGGAAGAAUAAGCACCGGCUAACUACGUGCCAGCAGCCGCAGUAA